CAGACCUGGUGGUAGAAUAAUAUACAAGACUGGAAUAUUGGUAUAGAAAGGUACAACUUGCUCAGGAAGGACCUGCAGGGGACAAAGGGAGGAGGUGUUGCCUUAUAUAUUAAAAAUGUGUAAACUUGGACUGAGGUUGAGAUGGAAAUAGGAGACUUGUUGAAAGUCUCUGGGUAAGGAUGAAAGGGCUAAAAA